rnacentral:tRNA from 1 species
GUUGUCGUUGCCGAGUAAUUGAGGCAAUAGACUAUAAAUCUUUUGGGAUCUUACCGCGCAGGUUCGAAUCUUGCCGACAACG